UACAGAGGUCUCAAGCGUUUGUUCGGAUUCAUUGGGCGUAAAGGGUGCGUAGGCGGCGCGGUAAGUCGGGUGUGAAAUCUCGGAGCUUAACUCCGAAACUGCAUUCGAUACUGCCGUGCUUGAGGACUGGAGAGGAGACUGGAAUUUACGGUGUAGCGGUGAAAUGCGUAGAUAUCGUAAGGAAGAACCAGUGGCGAAGGCGGGUCUCUGGACAGUUCCUGACGCUGAGGCACGAAGGUCAGGGGGAGCAAAACGGGG
rnacentral:rRNA from 1 species